rnacentral:rRNA from 1 species
CCUACGGGAGGCAGCAGUAGGGAAUAUUGCUCAAUGGGGGAAACCCUGAAGCAGCAACGCCGCGUGGAGGAUGAAGGUUCUCGGAUUGUAAACUCCUUUUGUUAGAGAAGAUAAUGACGGUACCUAACGAAUAAGCACCGGCUAACUCCGUGCCAGCAGCCGCGGUAAUACGGAGGGUGCAAGCGUUAUUCGGAAUCACUGGGCGUAAAGAGGGCGUAGGCGGGUUAACAAGUCAGAAGUGAAAUCCUAGGGCUUAACCCUAGAACUGCAUUUGAAACUGUGAUUCUAGAGUGUAGGAGGGGUAGGUGGAAUUCUUGGUGUAGCGGUAAAAUGCGUAGAGAUCAAGAGGAAUACUGAUUGCGAAGGCGGCCUACUAGGCCAUAACUGACGCUGAUGCGCGAAAGCGUGGGGAGCAAACAGGAUUAGAUACCCCGGUAGUC